GAUGAACGCUGGCGGCAUGCCUAACACAUGCAAGUCGAUCGGUAAGGCUCUUCGGAGUACACGAGAGGCGGACGGCUGAGUAACGCGUAGGAACACACCCUGCAGUGAGGGAUAAGACACCGAAAGGUGUUCUAAUACCGCAUACGGUCUUCGGAUUAAAGCAUUUAUGCGCUGAAGGAGUGGCCUGCGUCAUAUUAGAUAGUUGGUGAGGUAAUGGCUCACCAAGUCGAUGAUGUGUAGCUGGUCUGAGAGGAUGAUCAGCCAGACUGGAACUGAGACACGGUCCAGACUCCUACGGGAAGCAGCAGUGAGGAAUAUUUCACAAUGAGCGAAGGCUUGAUGGAGCAAUGCCGCGUGCAGGAUGAAGGCCCUCGGGUUGUAAACUGCUUUUAUAAGAGAAGAUUAUGACGGUAACUUAUGAAUAAGGGACGGCUAACUACGUG
rnacentral:rRNA from 1 species